rnacentral:lncRNA from 12 species
ACAAAAAAAAAUUGGUUCAAGUUGAGCGAUUUGAAUUUUUUUCUUUCCAGAUUAAAAGAAGAAUUUCAUGUCACAACUAAGUAACACAAAAGGAAAGCAGCACACGAUGAAAAGAUAAGAAAUAUGUUUUUCCAGAAAGGAGGCUACAGGCAUCAAAUUAAAUGUGAGAGAUGGACAGAACACAACUGGAAUCAUUCCUGAAGUGGGAGGAGUAACUCAAGGGACAAACUGCC